AAAUACACUCUGACAGGCAGAGUGGGUUGCUCAAAAGGAGCGAUAGCAGCUAGUGUCUUACGAGGAAUUCCUUGCCCCCUCCCGGCCAAGAUGUCUGACAUGGAGGAUGAUUUCCUGUGCGAUGAUGAGGAGGACUACGACCUGGAAUACUCUGAAGAUAGUAACUCCGAGCCAAAUGUGGAUUUGGAAAAUCAGUACUAUAAUUCCAAAGCAUUAAAAUAAGAAGACCCAAAAGCAGCAUUAAGCAGUUUCCAAAAGGUUUUGGAACUUGAAGGUGAAAAAGGAGAAUGGGGAUUUAAAGCACUGAAACAAAUUAUUAAGAUUAACUUCAAGUUGACAAACUUUCCAGAAAUGAUGAAUAGAUAUAAACAACUAUUGACCUAUAUUCGGAGUGCUGUCACAAGAAAUUAUUCUGAAAAACCCAUUAAUUCUAUUCUUGAUUAUAUCUCUACUUCUAAACAGAUGGAUUUACUGCAGGAAUUCUAUGAAACAACUCUGGAAGCUUUGAAAGAUGCUAAGAAUGAUAGACUGUGGUUUAAGACAAACACAAAGCUUGGAAAAUUAUAUUUAGAACGAGAGGAGUAUGGAAAGCUUCAAAAAAUGUUACGCCAGUGACAUCAGUCCUGUCAGACUGAUGAUGGCGAAGAUGAUCUGAAAAAGGGUACACAGUUAUUAGAAAUAUAUGCUCUGGAAAUUCAAGUGUACACAGCACAGAAAAAUAACAAAAAACUUAAAGCACUCUAUGAACAGUCACUUCACAUCAAGUCUGCCAUCCCUCAUCCACUGAUCAUGGGAGUUCUCAGAGAAUGUGCUGGUAAAAUGCACUUGAGGGAAGGUGAAUUUGAAAAGGCACACACUGAUUUUUUUGAAGCCUUCAAGAAUUAUGAUGAAUCUGGAAGUCCGAGAUGAACUACUUGCUUAAAAUAUUUGGUCUUAGCAAAUAUACUUAUGAAAUCAGGAAUAAAUCCAUUUGACUCACAGGAGGCCAAGCCAUACAAAAAUGAUCCAGAAAUUUUAGCAAUGACGAAUUUAGUAAGUGCCUAUCAGAAUAAUGACAUCACUGAAUUUGAAAAGUUUUAAAAACAAAUCACAGCAACAUCAUGGAUGAUCCUUUCAUAAGAGAACACAUUGAAGAGCUUUUGCGAAACAUCAGAGCACAAGUGCUUAUAAAAUUAAUUAAACCUUACACAAGAAUACAUAUUCCUUAUAUUUCUAAGGAAUUAAACAUAGAUGUAGCUGAUGUGGAGAGCUUGCUGGUGCAGUGCAUAUUGGAUAACACUAUUCAUGGCCGAAUUGAUCAAGUCAACCAGCUCCUUGAGCUGGAUCAUCAGCAGAGGGGUGGUGCACGAUAUCCUGCACUAGAUCAAUGGAGCAACCAACUAAAUUCUCUCAACCAGGCUGUAGUCAGUACACUGGCUUAACAGAGAACAGGCUUCUACAGACAUCCUUAAGGCAACAGUGCAGAGAUGUAAUCCUUAAAAGAACUGGGAAUGGCAAAACUACUGUCGGUUGAUGUGUCCUGAAAAUUAUUGGAGUUAUGGCAGAAGUGCUUUUUUGAUCAACUGGUUUGUGUUUUGCUGCUGCAUUUAUCCCAAGAAAAACAGCUUUAAUCUCCAGAAGAAAACCAAAAUACCAUGGGAUUUAUGCUGUAUUGACAUCUUGCCCUAAAAAUACAACAUCAUAGAAAUUUGUCAUGGGCAACAUGACCAGAGAGAAGAUUUUUGUCAUGAUUUUAAAUACACUGACACGCUACUGUUGGUUAAAUUUAAACAUGUUUUACGUGCAGAAAUUCUCUCACAAUAACCUGCAAUAACUUGAAAUGCAUAUCCUUUUGAACACUUCCUUUUCCAUUUAUAAAUUAAAAUGUUCGCUGCAUUUUGCAAAAUGUCAAUUCUCCAAAAAUGUGUCCGUAUAUUUCUGUACCUGCAGUGUAGUAAAGAUUUAGACGAAACCCCAUAAUUAUAGUGGCAUACUGUCACUUAGGUUUCAAGCAGCAAAAUAAACAGUGCAGCUCAGAAAUUGUAGUUUGCUUCUUGAUGUGUUUUUAUUACAUUUGGAGUUGUUUUGUUUUUUAGUACUUUGAAAUUUUGAAUUAUUUUAUCUUCAGUUAAUGAUUUUAAAAAGCCUGGGGGCAAAUAAGUUGGUUAUUUGCUUUCAAGUUUUUAAAAGUCGUCUUUAUUGAUACAGUAAGGAGAACUACUUUCUAACAAAACACUUGCAUAGUUAUGACAGUGAUGCUUUAAAGAAAUAAAUUUUUUUAAGAGUGAUAUUUCUUUUCAAAAGAAUACUAACUCUCAGAAUGUUCACUUUAAACAAAUAUGCCAGAACAUAGACAGCUAAAUGAAUGUUAAUUCUGCAUAGCGAUGAUGCUGGAAGGUUAUUUCCUAAUGCCAGCAAUCUACCCUUGCCCAAAACCUGCUGGGUUUACUCUUUUAGAAUUGCAUUCAAAGUUAAUUUGUCUCACAGACUAUUAACUUUGUGAUUAUACGUUGUUUUAAAAAAGAUAGUAUUAAGAAGCUUGACUAUUUUUAGUUACCAUUAUUUGGUACCACAAGAAAGUUUAGAAAACUUCCACCUAACUUUGAGGUAAUGCAAAAAGUAUACAACUUGCUUUGGAAGCAAUCCCAAAAGAGUUUUAAAGGUAUUUUGAGCAGGGGCAGGAUACUUAGGAGAAUGAACAGUGGCCUUCCAAGGUAAAAAGGAACUCAGCUCAUUUGAAUAUAUUGAGUUUUGGAUGUAUUGUUUCAUUUUUUUAAAAGUUCACAUUAUUUUAUAGUGUCAAAAGGAAUAACUAAGAUUAAGAUAAUUUCUUUGGUUUUUCUACUGCUUGAUAUUAUUAUGUAUGAACUGGGUGGCAGUUCAGAAGGAAGAUUGUUGUAACAGAAGAGUGACAACCAAGAAUUUUUUGAUCAUUAAAUUAGAUUUUAUAAACAGUGGAAGGAGCAUGCACUUAAAACAAGGCAUGCUUAUUCGGUUUUGUCAAAAUUUUAAGAAAAUAUGUGAUAAUAUAUUUAUACUAAAAUUAUAUAAUCCUUAGAUUUAGAAAAGCAAUCAAUUAAUGUCUUUAGCAGACUAAAGCAGUAUUAAACACAGGUACAAGUUGGAAACUGUAGAAAACGGAAAGAAAACAAAAGAUAAAAUGUCUAUGGUAGGGAAUAAAAGAGUUUAAGAUAUUAAU